rnacentral:rRNA from 1 species
GACGAACGCUGGCGGCGUGCUUAACACAUGCAAGUCGAACGGAAAGGCCCUGCUUUUGUGGGUUGCUCGAGUGGCGAACAGGUGAGUAACACGUAAGUAACCUACCCUUGACUUUUGGAUAACUUCAGGAAACUGGGGCUAAUACCGGAUAGGAGCUCCUGCUGCCUGGUGGGGGUUGUAAAGUUUCGGCGGUGGGGGAUGGACUCGCGGCUUAUCAUCUUGUUGGUGGGGUAGUGGCUUACCACGGCUUUGACGGGUAGCCGGCCUGAGAGGGUGACCGGCAACAUGGGGACUGAGAUACGGCACAGACUCGUAGGGGAGGCAGAAGUGUGGAAGAUUGCACAAUGGGCGGAAGCCUGAUGAAGGAACGCGGCGUGCGGGAUGAAGGCCUUCGGGGUGUAAACCGAUUGGGACUGUGACGAAGCGUGAGUGACGGUAAUGGGUAAAGAAGCACCGGCUAACUACGUG